UGGGGAAUUUUGGACAAUGGGCGAAAAGCCUGAUCCCAGCAAUGCCGCGUGUGUGAAGAAGGCCUUCGGGUUGUAAAGCACUUUUUGUCCGGAAAGAAAUCCUUGGCUCUAAUACAGUCGGGGGAUGACGGUACCGGAAGAAUAAGCACCGGCUAACUACGUGCCAGCAGCCGCGGUAAUACGUAGGGUGCAAGCGUUAAUCGGAAUUACUGGGCGUAAAGCGUGCGCAGGCGGUUUGCUAAGACCGAUGUGAAAUCCCCGGGCUCAACCUGGGAACUGCAUUGGUGACUGGCAGGCUAGAGUAUGGCAGAGGGGGGUAGAAUUCCACGUNUAGCAGUGAAAUGCGUAGAGAUGUGGAGGAAUACCGAUGGCGAAGGCAGCCCCCUGGGCCAAUACUGACGCUCAUGCACGAAAGCGUGGGGAGCAAACAGGAUUAGAUACCCUGGUAGUCCACGCCCUAAACGAUGUCAACUAGUUGUUGGGGAUUCAUUUCCUUAGUAACGUAGCUAACGCGUGAAGUUGACCGCCUGGGGAGUACGGUCGCAAGAUUAAAACUCAAAUGAAUUGACGGGGUCAUAGCUG
rnacentral:rRNA from 1 species